rnacentral:misc_RNA from 1 species
AGGACUGCAAUCAACACAAUCAUAAGAAUUCCAAGGCCAAGUCCCAGUACCUUCAUGGUGGCAGGUAAUGCCAUGAUACCAGCACCAAUAAUAGUCGUCGAAAGAUUAAACACUGCACCAACAAAAGAAGCUUCAUUUUGGAUUUCUUGCCUGCCUUCUCUUCUUUUGGGGAGUAAUGGUGAUUCCUGGGUGAUGGGUUCAUUGGUCGGUGGAGUUUUCCUAAUCUUUUUCUUAUCAAUCUUCAUAGUUGUAAUUUGAAAGCCGUAAUUCUCUUGAAUUCGGAGAAGAAAAGAGCAAUUUGCAAGUGGUAAUUCUCUUGAAUUCGAAGAAGAAAAGAGGGACUUGUUGCAAACGGGCAAGCAAU